GCGCCGAUGGUCUAGUGGUUAUGACUUGGGCCUUCCAAGCGGCAGGGAUCGCGGAGCAAGCCCAAAACCCGGGUUCGAAUCCCGGUCGGCGCA
rfam:Methanosaeta harundinacea 6Ac, complete genome.